GAUGAAGAACGUAGCGAAAUGCGAUAAGUAAUGUGAAUUGCAGAUUUCAGUGAAUCAUCGAAUCUUUGAACGCACAUUGCGCCCUUUGGUAUUCCGAAGGGCAUGCCUGUUCGAGCGUCAUUAUCACCCCUCAAGCCCUCGGCUUGGUGUUGGACGGUUUGGUGGAGGCCCCCUCGGGGGCUCCUGCCCCUCCCAAAGACAAUGACGGCGGCCUCGUUGGACCCCCGGUACACUGAGUUCUUCACGGGACACGUAUCGGACACAUGGGUUUACGGGACACGGUCUGCCUCCCCUCAGGGAGAAUCUUUCUAAGGUUGACCUCGGAUCAGGUAGGGAUACCCGCUGAACUUAAGCAUAUCAAUAAGCGGAGGA
rnacentral:misc_RNA from 1 species